CAAUAGCGUAUAUUAAAGUUGUUGCAGUUAAAAAGCUCGUAGUUGGAUUUCGGAGCCGACCGGGCGGUCUGUCGAGAGACACGCACUGCUCGGUGGCUCUUCCUCUCGGAGGCCCUGGCUGCCCUUAACUGGAGCGGGCAGGGGAUUCGGGACGUUUACUUUGAAAAAAUUAGAGUGUUCAAAGCAGGCCGGUGCUUGGAUACAUUAGCAUGGAAUAAUGGAAUAGGGCUUGGGUCCUAUUUUGUUGGUUUUCGGGACCGAGGUCAUGGUUAAGAGGGACAGUUGGGGGCAUUCGUAUUCAAUUGUCAGAGGUGAAAUUCUUGGAUUUAUGGAAGACGAACAACUGCGAAGGCAUUUGCCAAGGAUGUUUUCAUUAA
rnacentral:rRNA from 1 species